GAAUGCAAGCAGAUCAUUACCAUGGACCUUGUUUAUACAAAACAGGCUUAGAUGAGAAGCCACUGAUUAGUUCUUUCCUCAGCUCUGUCUUCAGGCUGACCAUACAGCAGACCCCGAGCUGAUUGCUGCCCUUGUGAUGUUUUCUGUGGAAAGACAUUAGAAAACACUGACUGAUUACUCCUCAAAGUGCUAUCCUUGAUGCAAUUUCUCCUAGCACCAGACAGUGGAUUCCUGCUUUCUAAUGCAUCUCUGCAAACACUUUGGUUUAGUUGUAUCGAAUGCUUUGUUGUUUCAUUUGUAAAAAGAGGGUAAUAACAUAUACUUGCAAUGUUUACUUACCUUUCCAGCAUUCUCUGCAGCUUAAAUCACAGUCAGAGGAAUAACACAGAAGGCAGUUACUUCUGUUUUAAAAAAACUAAGAUGAUGAAAGUAUAAUAUUACCAUCUUUGAGCCAGUGGAAAAAUGAAUGCCUAACAACAUUGUGAAACAGCAUUUGCAAAGUUCUAUUGAGAUGUCUUUGUCCCAACAUGAUUUUACUGUGUAACAGUACUUCUAUCAUAUACCACUUGAAGUUUCCAAAAAUGACAAUGGGAGUGAUAGUGCAAAUGUUUUUUUGGCAAACUCUUGCUUGGGAAAGUGUACCUGUGCCCUGCUUGUUACAGGGAAAGCUUGGAGAAGUAAGAGUGGUGUUGGAGGAAGGACAUGCAGUCAGGCAGGAUUCUUCCAAAGGAUGGCACGUCAUCUAUGUGCAGAUGGGGGCAGGUUUAAAACUUUUGUGUCUUACACAUCUUAUGGUUUCUUGCACAGGGACAUUUACAGAGAUGGUUGUACGUCACCUCCAAGAACAAGUUAUUAGGAUGAUUCAAACUCCAGGCAACAGAAUUAAAUUCUGGUCAAAGAAAUUAUGCAAGAAUCCACCUCAGCUCAGUAUUUCUCAAAUAUAUUGCAUUUUCAAAUUACUGGUAUUUUUUAAGUUCAUCCCACUAGGUUGUAGAUGAGUCAAUUUGGUGUAUCUCUUUCUAGCUUAUGGACUGAGUAUCUUACCCAUUUCUACAUAAAUAGCACAGUAUUCAGCAGUGAAAACUGUUGAGUGUGGACAAGAAACAGAGAUCUCUGAAAAUCUGUCCAUGUAUGUAAAUGCUAAGCAUGGAAUAAUCUGCUUACUUUCAUUUGUCAGACUCUGAAUAACGGUUCAAGAGUUAUACAAAUACAAGGAGAAUGAAAAAAAAGUUAGCCCAUUUUUAAAACAUUUUAUAAUUUGUUUUUACUGACAUCAAGAUGCUGCAGCAUUUUACAACUCUUUAAGCUCAAAGGCAUAACUCACCUGUUCAGCAGAAUUUAGCUGAGCAAUAUUUACAUUUAUCUAUUAAUGAAAGUUUCAGUAGUUUCUUCAGAUAAAUUAUUUGAAGAUAUCUGAU
ensembl:lncRNA